GAUGAACGCUGGCGGCGUGCUUAACACAUGCAAGUCGAACGAAACACCUUAUUUGAUUUUCUUCGGAACUGAAGAUUUGGUGAUUGAGUGGCGGACGGGUGAGUAACGCGUGGGUAACCUGCCCUGUACAGGGGGAUAACAGUCAGACAUGACUGCUAAUACCGCAUAAGACCACAGCACCGCAUUGUGCAGGGGUAAAAACUCCGGUGGUACAGGAUGGACCCGCGUCUGAUUAGCUGGUUGGUGAGGUAACGGCUCACCAAGGCGACGAUCAGUAGCCGGCUUGAGAGAGUGAACGGCCACAGUGGGACUGAGACACGGCCCAAACUCCUACGGGAGGCAGCAGUGGGGAAUAUUGCACAAUGGGGGAAAGCCUGAUGCAGCGACGCCGCGUGAGUGAAGAAGUACUUAGGUAUGUAAAGCUCUAUCAGCAGGGAAGAAAAUGACGGUACCUGAAGAAGAAGCCCCGGCUAACUACGUG
rnacentral:rRNA from 1 species